UAGGGAAUAUUGGACAAUGGGUGCAAGCCUGAUCCAGCCAUGCCGCGUGCAGGAAGAAGGCCUUCUGGGUUGUAAACUGCUUUUGCCAGGGGAUAAAAUUUCUUUGCGAAGAAAAUUGAAGGUACCUGGUGAAUAAGCCACGGCUAACUACGUGCCAGCAGCCGCGGUAAUACGUAGGUGGCAAGCGUUGUCCGGAUUUAUUGGGUUUAAAGGGUGCGUAGGCGGUUCCAUAAGUCAGUGGUGAAAUACAAUAGCUUAACUAUUGAGGUGCCAUUGAUACUGCGGAACUUGAGUACAGACGAGGUAGGCGGAAUUGACGGUGUAGCGGUGAAAUGCUUAGAUAUCGUCAAGAACACCGAUAGCGAAGGCAGCUUACUAGACUGUAACUGACGCUGAGGCACGAAAGUGUGGGGAUCAAACAGGAUUAGAUACCCCCGUAGUCCCUGAGCGGGCUGGCAAGGCGCAU
rnacentral:rRNA from 1 species